AUUGAACGCUGGCGGCAGGCCUAACACAUGCAAGUCGAGCGGUAGCACAGAGAGCUUGCUCUCGGGUGACGAGCGGCGGACGGGUGAGUAAUGUCUGGGAAACUGUCUGAUGGAGGGGGAUAACUACUGGAAACGGUAGCUAAUACCGCAUAACGUCGCAAGACCAAAGUGGGGGACCUUCGGGCCUCAUGCCAUCAGAUGUGCCCAGAUGGGAUUAGCUAGUAGGUGGGGUAACGGCUCACCUAGGCGACGAUCCCUAGCUGGUCUGAGAGGAUGACCAGCCACACUGGAACUGAGACACGGUCCAGACUCCUACGGGAGGCAGCAGUGGGGAAUAUUGCACAAUGGGCGCAAGCCUGAUGCAGCCAUGCCGCGUGUGUGAAGAAGGCCUUCGGGUUGUAAAGCACUUUCAGCGGGGAGGAAGGCGUUGAGGUUAAUAACCUUGGCGAUUGACGUUACCCGCAGAAGAAGCACCGGCUAACUCCGUGCCAGCAGCCGCGGUAAUACGGAGGGUGCAAGCGUUAAUCGGAAUUACUGGGCGUAAAGCGCACGCAGGCGGUCUGUCAAGUCGGAUGUGAAAUCCCCGGGCUCAACCUGGGAACUGCAUUCGAAACUGGCAGGCUAGAGUCUUGUAGAGGGGGGUAGAAUUCCAGGUGUAGCGGUGAAAUGCGUAGAGAUCUGGAGGAAUACCGGUGGCGAAGGCGGCCCCCUGGACAAAGACUGACGCUCAGGUGCGAAAGCGUGGGGAGCAAACAGGAUUAGAUACCCUGGUAGUCCACGCCGGAAACGAUGUCGAUUUGGAGGUUGUGCCCUUGAGGCGUGGCUUCCGGAGCUAACGCGUUAAAUCGACCGCCUGGGGAGUACGGCCGCAAGGUUAAAACUCAAAUGAAUUGACGGGGGCCCGCACAAGCGGUGGAGCAUGUGGUUUAAUUCGAUGCAACGCGAAGAACCUUACCUGGUCUUGACAUCCACAGAACUUUCCAGAGAUGGAUUGGUGCCUUCGGGAACUGUGAGACAGGUGCUGCAUGGCUGUCGUCAGCUCGUGUUGUGAAAUGUUGGGUUAAGUCCCGCAACGAGCGCAACCCUUAUCCUUUGUUGCCAGCGGUUAGGCCGGGAACUCAAAGGAGACUGCCAGUGAUAAACUGGAGGAAGGUGGGGAUGACGUCAAGUCAUCAUGGCCCUUACGACCAGGGCUACACACGUGCUACAAUGGCAUAUACAAAGAGAAGCGACCUCGCGAGAGCAAGCGGACCUCAUAAAGUAUGUCGUAGUCCGGAUUGGAGUCUGCAACUCGACUCCAUGAAGUCGGAAUCGCUAGUAAUCGUAGAUCAGAAUGCUACGGUGAAUACGUUCCCGGGCCU
rnacentral:rRNA from 1 species